rnacentral:lncRNA from 1 species
UCACCCAGGACACCGUGAGAGCUACCACUGGAGAAGGACACGGAUGAACCUAAAGAGCAACUGUAUAGGACCCAGAGAUGGCAGGGAUCAACUGUUACACCAGGAAUCAUGACUUCAAGAGGAGCCAUUACCUAAACACAUGUCAACACCAAACUGCACUCCAAGGUCUCCAAACAAUGCUAUUUACCCACGAAGAGUGAUCAAUAUAUCUAUCAAUACAUGACUAGGAGGAGCAUGAGGAGCAGUUAUUGCUACUCCUUUUAACUGGAGUUCAAAGAGUCUUAGGCAAUAUGUCUGCAGUUCUAUGUUUCCACCACUAGAUGGCGGUAAAUGUUUUAUGCUAUAAAAUGUGCAAUGAAUGUCACAUGAAGAGUUUUAUAGGUUAUGAGACUGAUGUGCUGCCUACUGCACUAAGCAGGAAGCCAAAAAAAAAAAAAAAGUCA